AUGAGUCUCUCAAACCUGCCAUCUGGAGCUAGGUGUUAUGUUAAUUCCUAUCUGCACGUCUCAAAAAGAAGCCAUCUGUCUUCCUCUAAAGCGUUCUUCGUCAGUAGUAUAAAUAUAGCCAAGAUUACACAGAUCAGGAGUGCAGGCAGGGGACCCUCAACAUCACCAGUGUCCACGGUGAAGGAUUUCCUUACUACACACUCCCUGGGGAAAUGAAUGAAUGGAAGUAAAUUGAUUCAGACUUCUCAGAAAUGACAGGAAGCUUGAGGUAAAUAGUAAGUAAAUCUUUGAGAACCAAUCACUUCCACUAGAAAGGCAACUCAAAAAUUCCCUUCCUUUUGCAAAGAGUAAUGCAAUGUCUGUGACAUCUACAUGUAUUUGUUUUGCACUACUUUGGGUUCAAACUUGGCUAUACUUUAUAAUCACCCAUACACUUUUUAAAAUCUCCCAACUGAAACAGAACAUAGGAGGUGCGGGUGCGGAGCAUGGCUAACUUUCAGGUACAUCUCUAGGGGUCCUAAUAACUAACCAAUGUGGAGAGCAUCGGUCGAGGGGCUUUCUUACCCACCCUAAUCUGGUCCUCAGAUUCACCUCAGCAGCUCAGUCUGCUAUCAAACAGACGUGGUAUCAAGGGGUUUAAACCUUUGCCGGGUGGAAAAUAAAAAGCAGUCUCAUGUCAGCAGAGAAACACUAAUUUCUAAUUCUUUAAGGGUAUUCUGAUUUUAAACUUCAGGUUCUAAAGAGUUGCCAUUGCUUUUAAUUUAGUGCUAUCACAAAUGUAAUUUAUUGCAGGAUUAUUUCCAAGGCUACCCUCGGGCUUUCUUCUUGUACUAAAAUGCUACUUCUACAACUUUCAUUAGAUUAUAGCUUUAUUACUGUAAGUUGACUCUCAUCUAUCUAAAGUACUUGCCAGGUGUGAUGAAGUGUCAGGAUGAGCUGUUCAGACACUAAGGGCUUCGAGAGAGCUGAGGAGGGAGAAAUCAAUUCGGAUUUUCACGGCACCCAGAGUGGAACGUGGACUGGGUGAGGAAAGGGAAACCGAGUCCUGGGCAGAGGGCACAGCAAGAAAUGAGCAAGAGGUGAUUCUAGGAAUGCAAAGCGCUGCGCCCUAAAGACAUCAGUACUCAUUCAUCUAACUCCCAGGCCCGGAGGCCUCUCUUUGCUCUGUGAACUCCCUGGAUCCUCCUCUGCUACCCACAUUUCCAAACCCACCUCGCUUCUGCUCCACCACUUGGAAGCCAGGGUUCCAAAUCUGCAUUUUUACCAAGUUCCCCAAGUAGUUUUUAUAAUGAAACACUAACUGAAGGAGAUUAAUCUAGCCAAACUGUUCAGCAGGAAGAUAGAUGGGUCAGAAUGUCCCCCAAAGAGAGCCAAAUGCAACAAACUAGCGCUUCUGUGGAAAUAAAUCAGACGUACCACUUACUCAUUUAUCAAAUCGGCAAAGAUUAAAACACUUUAUACCACUCACUGUUGAUGAAGAAAAGAGCUUUUACACACUGCUGGUGGGAAUGUGAAUUGGUGCCUUACUAGGGGACGAGUUGGCAAUUCUUAUCAAAAGCCUGAACAUUUUUCACACCCUUUGACAGAGCAAUUCCACUUGCAGAAAUUUAUCCCAAGGCUGUGGUUUUAGCCUUGGCAGUUUAUCAGAAUCAAUUGUGAGGCUUUUGUGAAUUACAGAUUUCUGGGCCUCACACUCUAGAGAUUCUAGGAAUAAAGUUUCUGAAUUUUUUUUUUUUUUGAAAAAGUAAGGUUGUAAUUUGGACUUAUUUUUUAAAAGUUCA
rnacentral:lncRNA from 1 species